rnacentral:rRNA from 1 species
UACAGAGGGUGCGAGCGUUGUCCGGAAUCACUGGGCGUAAAGGGCGCGUAGGCGGCCUGUUAAGUCGGGGGUGAAAUCCUGUGGCUUAACCACAGGGCUGCCUCCGAGACUGUCGGGCUCGAGCACAGUAGAGGCAGGUGGAAUUCCCGGUGUAGCGGUGGAAUGCGUAGAGAUCGGGAAGAACAUCGGUGGCGAAGGCGGCCUGCUGGGCUGUUGCUGACGCUGAGGCGCGACAGCGUGGGGAGCAAACAGG